rnacentral:tRNA from 1 species
UGGCUUGGACUGUAAAGUAUCUGUCUGCAAAGCAGGAGACCCAGGUUCGAUCCCUGG